ensembl:lncRNA
CAAGGCUGUAUUCCAGAAACCAGCUUUUACUGAAGAUGAUUCGCAAAUUCUUCAACUUCAAUUAAAGACAGCUUAAUGCUAGCAAGCCCAAGGACAAGGAUGCCUUAUGUGUUUUGUUAAUUUAUGUUUAAAAUUCACAAGUUAUAGGUGUCCUUGUUACAAAGAGCACUUCUUGCAUCCGUAAGACUGUUACCUUUCAGAAAAACUCAAGUUCAAACCAAAUAAAAGGUUCACUGAUCAUUAUGGUAUGUGUCACUGUUACUGGGUAAGUCACCACCUCCGGGUCUACCUGCCUAUGGUAUCUCACUGAGCCAUGAAUGGCGCUGAGACCCUCCCAGGGAUGAGUCAUAGCCCCUGCCUGGGCUGACACCAGCACCUCAUUCACAGCCAAUAAUGAGACAUGCUAAUGAGAAGGCUGGCCGCCCUACAUGCUAGCCAUUAUGCAGUGCUGUGAUUCAUGCUCUGUUCUGUAGGAAACCAUCAUCAGGCCCGGUGCAUUGUGGGUCCAGAGAUUAACUCCAUGAUGAAGUCUUUCUAUAGUAUCAGGGUGAUUAUAUUUGAUCUAUGUCUCUCAUUCUUUGGCCUUGUGGUGAAGGAAAUCAGAGAGGAACUGCUUAUGGUGUGCAUGUGAAUGGAUUCAAUAUUGGCUUCAUGCAAUGUAAAAUACAUGUGGUCCACUUGAUUUAAUAUUGAACAUGUUAUAUUGAAAACCUUGUUUUAGUAUGGGUUUUCACCAGGGGCACAACUUUCACUGGGGAUGGGGGAUCAUGUCCCCUCCACAUUUUGAAAUUGCCCUCCCCCCCACACCCACAGUUGUAUAAUUGCAAUAUGAUACAAAAAGCGGCAACUAUGG